GACGAACGCUGGCGGCGUGCUUAACACAUGCAAGUCGAACGGAAAGGCCCUGCUUUUGUGGGGUGCUCGAGUGGCGAACGGGUGAGUAACACGUGAGUAACCUGCCCUUGACUUUGGGAUAACUUCAGGAAACUGGGGCUAAUACCGGAUAGGAGCUCCUGCUGCAUGGUGGGGGUUGGAAAGUUUCGGCGGUUGGGGAUGGACUCGCGGCUUAUCAGCUUGUUGGUGGGGUAGUGGCUUACCAAGGCUUUGACGGGUAGCCGGCCUGAGAGGGUGACCGGCCACAUGGGGACUGAGAGACGGCCCAGACUCCUACGGGAGGCAGUAGUGGGGAAUAUUGCGCAAUGGGCGGAAGCCUGAUGCAGCAACGCCGCGUGCGGGAUGACGGCCUUCGGGUUGUAAACCGCUUUCGCCUGUGACGAAGCGUGAGUGACGGUAAUGGGUAAAGAAGCACCGGCUAACUACGUG
rnacentral:rRNA from 1 species